rfam:Ictidomys tridecemlineatus contig038468, whole genome shotgun sequence.
UGGGUUGUGGCUCAGCAGUAGAGCGUUCACCUAGCAUGUGUGAGGCCCUGGGUUCAAUCCUCAGCACCACAU